rnacentral:rRNA from 1 species
UACGAAGGGGGCCUAGCGUUGCUCGGAAUUACUGGGCGUAAAGCGCACGUAGGCGGUCUUUUAAGUCGGGGGUGAAAUCCUGGAGCUCAACUCCAGAACUGCCUUUGAUACUGAAGAUCUUGAGUUCGGGAGAGGUGAGUGGAACUGCGAGUGUAGAGGUGAAAUUCGUAGAUAUUCGCAAGAACACCAGUGGCGAAGGCGGCUCACUGGCCCGAUACUGACGCUGAGGCACGAAAGCGUGGGGAGCAAACAGG